GGGCCUCACUGGUGAUCCUGUUUGGUGAUGGUGUCCCUUCGUGUGUAGUGUCUUAUUCACUCCCCUCCUUUGUUUUGCUUUGCCCUUGUGUGUUUGGAGUGUUAAUUUUGGAUUGUGGUGCUCCCAUUUUAAGUUUAUACUUUCACCCCUCACUCACCUUGAGCACAAAUGCCCCAGCCCUGGAAUACAUGAUAAUUUAUACAAAUAGGAUAACUUUUUUAGAUUUGAAUUGUGCCCAAUAAACUGUUGUAUAUGCUUUUGGAAACACGUCUCUCGCCUGCUCAGUGUAACGAACUUGUGUCGUCCUUUUGUUUAGAUUUAGUAAUUUACCUUAUUCAUAGAUUUCUUUCUUUUCCCUGGGUGAUUUCUCCCAGGGUGGCGUUGCUGGUUUCCUUUAGUUUCUUUCUUUUUCCCCUAGUUAAAAACCAUAGAUUAUUGGGGUAGUUCCUACCCCACCUCACGCUUGCCACAAACUUGGCGUUGCUGGCAGGACUUAUACUGAAAAAAAAAAGGCAGAGACGUGUGUUCCUUUGUUUUUGUUGUUUGUUUUUUGUUUUUUUGAAUAAGACAAAGCAGCAGCAGUCCCCUGGCAACCAUGGAGGAAGAAAUGCAAGAGUUGCGAGCUCUGGUUGCGCAGUUAAAGGCUGACAAUGAGAGGUUGCGUCAAGCUUCGUUGGUGCCGCCCUCUAGUGCUACACCUUCAACCUCCUCAGUACUGCCGACUGCCCUUACUUCUGCCAGUGCCCCUGCAGCCGAGAGGCCCCACAACCUGUCACGCAGGCAUUACAGGAGUACCAUCAGGUGACCACGCAGACCUCCCAGGAGCUGUCUGGGAAGGCAAAGGUCAGAGGAAUCGCAGAGGUCCCAUCCACUGUAGCCAUUGUAGCUUCUCACACCGCCUUACCUACCGUGCCAGACCAGAUUGAGGGUUUAGAUCUGUCUUCUCUUUCCCCUGAAGAGCAAGGUCAGACGAGACCCCAGUCACGCAACGCUACAGGCGUGUAUCCCCUUCUGAUUAUGAGGCUGUCAAAGACCACAUUAAUCAGCUUCUUUCUGCUCAGGUGCUGAGGGCCUCACUGGUGAUCCUGUUUGGUGAUGGUGUCCCUUCGUGUGUAGUGUCUUAUUCACUCCCCUCCUUUGUUUUGCUUUGCCCUUGUGUGUUUGGAGUGUUAAUUUUGGAUUGUGGUGCUCCCAUUUUAAGUUUAUACUUUCACCCCUCACUCACCUUGAGCACAAAUGCCCCAGCCCUGGAAUACAUGAUAAUUUAUACAAAUAGGAUAACUUUUUUAGAUUUGAAUUGUGCCCAAUAAACUGUUGUAUAUGC
ensembl:lncRNA